GAAAUCAGUUCAGCACUAAGUCACUUUGUCUAUAUGGCAAAUGUGAGAUGCAGUGUAUGGAACAUCAAUAUUCUAGUAUGAGAAAUUAACGAUUUAAGUCCUUCUUAAAUGAGGCCAUUUACCCAUAGAGGGUGCCAGGCCCGUAUAACGUUAAUGAUUAUUAGAUGGUGUUUCCAAAGAGUCGUGUUGCUUGAUAGUGCAGCACUAAGUGGGUGGUAAACUCCAUCUAAAACUAAAUAUAACCAUGAGACCGAUAGUAAACAAGUACCGUGAGGGAAAGUUGAAAAGAACUCUGAAUAGAGAGUUAAAUAGUACGUGAAACUGCUUAGAGGUUAAGCCCGAUGAACCUGAAUAUCCAUUAUGGAAAAUUCAUCAUUAGAAUUGUAAUAUUUAAACAAUAUUAUAAUAAUAGUGUGCAUUUUUUCCAUAUAAGGACAUUGUAAUCUAUUAGCAUCAAAAAAUUUAUCAAAAAAUUUUAGUCAAUUGCUUAUUUAAAUUAAAAUGCUUGCAUUUUAACGUAAAUUAAAUGUCAUAAACUUGAUAAAGUGCUGAUAGAUUUAUAUGAAUACAGUGCGUUAAUUCUUCGGAAUUAUAUAAUGGCAUGAUUGAUCAUUGAUUUUUGUGUUUAUUAUAUGCACUUGUAUGAUAACAAUGCGAA
rnacentral:rRNA from 1 species